GACGAACGCUGGCGGCGUGCUUAACACAUGCAAGUCGAACGGAAAGGCCCUGCUUUUGUGGGGUGCUCGAGUGGCGAACGGGUGAGUAACACGUGAGUAACCUGCCCUUGACUUUGGGAUAACUUCAGGAAACUGGGGCUAAUACCGGAUAGGAGCUCCUGCUGCAUGGUGGGGGUUGGAAAGUUUCGGCGGUUGGGGAAGGACUCGCGGCUUAUCAGCUUGUUGGUGGGGUAGUGGCUUACCAAGGCUUUGACGGGUAGCCGGCCUGAGAGGGUGACCGGCCACAUUGGGACUGAGAUACGGCCCAGACUCCUACGGGAGGCAGCAGUGGGGAAUAUUGCACAAUGGGCGGAAGCCUGAUGCAGCAACGCCGCGUGCGGGAUGACGGCCUUCGGGUUGUAAACCGCCUUCGCCUGUGACGAAGCGUGAGUGACGGUAAUGGGUAAAGAAGCACCGGCUAACUACGU
rnacentral:rRNA from 1 species